AAAACAAAUAUUUCUUUCAUAGAUUUUCGCUUUUUAAAGGUGCCAGAAGUGAUGUGGGUUGGGAUGGGGUUAAGGGUGACGAUAUCUCGACUCUCAUUAGGACUCAUAUAUCGACCAUGUUCAAUGUUUUUCCUAGCUAAUAAUUUCAUUAGUGCCAAAACGCGAAAACGCGAAAAAAACAAAAAGGAAAACAAAUGAAAAUAGUUUGAAAACUUUAUGUUUUAACGAAAAUAACAAAAAUAUAUUAUAAGGGAAUAGUAUCAGGAUUGACUUUUUAGAGUAAAAAUAUGAUUUUUCAUUAAAGUAAACAGUACCAGAAGUUUUUCGUUAAAGUUCCGCAAAAACCCUUACUAACUACAAAUGAACUACGGCCUAACAUAGCUUUUGUAGAAUUUUCAAUGAUAAAAACAUAGCUUCUAUUCUUUUAUGCUAGUGUCACUUAGUUAUAUACAUACACUAUGAGCAUAUCCCGAACGUAAUUAACAUAAAAUCUUGUCGAUUAAUAAUAUAGUCAAUCAAUUGAAUUGGCAAUUAAAAGUUGGCAGAGAAUGUAUUAAAAGUUGGCAGAGAAUAUAUAAAUUCAUAGGCCUGAAUUGGCAAUUAAAAGUGUUGUUUUAUGAAUCGUGAGAUUUUUUUUUUUAUUUACUAACCUUGUCAAUAUGGGAUUAAAAAAAUAAUGAUGCUUUUGAGUCUUUAAUUGAUAUGUAUAAGUAAUAAAUGGGUACUAAAUUAAACUUCUUGAUGACAAGUCAUAUAAUUUACAAAUUUGGUCUAAAAAUAACAACCCACAUAGCUACUAGCUACUAAUUAAAAAUAAAUUAACAACUAAACAAAAAUUCGUAAAAAUUGAAAAGUAAAUAAGCACACAUGGUGAUUUGAACCCAAGAUCUCUUAUUAAUUUCAAACAACAAAACCACAAUUUCUAGUUAAAUUUCUUUGUCAUUGAAUUAAAUUUUAUAAAUUUAUACUCUUAUAAAAACAUAUAUAAAUGUCCCACCCUAAUAAUUUUGGUACUCUUAGUUAUUUUGAACCCUAAACAGUCGUCCUGCCUGCACGGGCCUGGGCCGGCCCUGCCCGCAUUCCAUCUCCUUCUCUCUCUCCCUCCCACUUUAAAUUGCACAUCAAUAAAGUUUCAAAUUUCAAAUAAGAAGAUCAAAUUCCAAAUUUUUAUCACAAUUUUCCUGAGAAACAAACAGAACAUUCUCUUUCCAGGACACCAAAAAAGAAGAGCAUCGCUUCGUCGACGGUGGGUGUGGUGGUGGCUCUGCAGUAAUGACGGCUGUUGUUCGCCGACGGCUUUCAGUCGACUCCUCCAAGCCAAUUUGUGGGAUUGGGGUUGGGACUCAGCGGGUGACUGGGUGUUGGAUAGGAUUGGGGUUGGGACUCUCCACUGCUGAGCUUUGCUCGAUUAACGUUAGUCCGAGUCUUUUAUCACAAAGCUUCGAGCCACCAUUUCCAUGGUCGGCGAACCCGUCUGUAAGUCGAUGGCAUCUUUAAUUUUUUUUCUUCGAACCCCGCGUACCCAUAUUACAUCCUGCCCCAGAUCCGUCGAUCUCCGUCCAAGUAGCCAAAAAAAGAAAAAGUACCAAAAUUUCCCACACUCAAUACAGAAACAUAGAAAUCCCAACAUUUUCCCUCUAACCAAACACACCCAAUUUUCUUUUUGGACAAUAUGCAGAGCUUAAACCACCCAUUCCACUUCAGAUCCUGAAAACCCCAGCUAAGCCCAUAAACCAAAAACUAAAAAAAGAAAAAAAAAUUCCCACUGGGGAAGACGCUGAGGUUGGGAUGGGGCUCUGCAAUUGCAGCAGGUUGGGUGGAAGAGGCGUGAAGCAGAUUUAGGGUUUCAUUUUUUUCUUUUUCUAUUUUGAAGUUUUUAAUUACUCAAAAAAACUUCAUUUUUUGUUAAUUAAAUAUUUUUUAUUAGUUGUUUGGCCAUGUGGCCCAAGUUUAGUAGCCAUGUCAGUAUAAAUAUGGAACUCACUUUUGCCACGUCAUUACUUAACGGCUAACUUAAUAAAUUAUGUAACGGUUGUAUGAUAUUGAAAUGAAAUAAUAGUAAAUGUAUGUGAUUGAAAUGUUUUAAAAAUAUUGUAUGAGGUUGCAAUUGCACCAAAACUUGAGAAUGUAAAAUGUCAUUUAAAAUAAGUACGUAAUUUUAUUCAUAAAAAGAAGAUAAAUUACAUAAAACUACCUCAAUUAUUGGGUCAUUAACAAUUUCAUACCUUGUCUAAGUCAUCUUUAAAAAGUUUUAAUGUUAUACCUCAUCUGUGAAUUUUUUACAAUUUCAUACCUUUUGUUAAAUUUCUAUCAAUUCUUCUGUUAAAUAGUAACGUGAUAUGAGACGUGACUCAUUAUCUAUUAAAAAUUUAAUAAAAUAUUAAACAAGGGGAAACUUGAUAUGAGUCCAAUUUUUUUGGUCAAUAGUAGAAAUAAUCCAAUUUAUUAAAACAAGUUCAAUUCCUUAAAUUUAAUUAUUUAAUUAUCAAUAAUUAUCUCUUCAAUGAAAAAAAUGAUUGUAAAAAUCAAAUUUCUUCCUAAUUAUCUCUUUGAUGGGCUUAGCCUUGCCUUGUACCUUUACUUAUACUAAUCAUGAUGGGCUUUCUUGUCUUACAAGUAAUACAAAACCUAUAAGGAUUUGAUCUUGAAAUCCUAUUAGGAUUAUACUUUAAGUUUACACAAUCACAUUCAUAAUUAAUAAUUCUACUCACAAAAUGCCCCUUGAGUAUGUACAACUUAAGAAGUAGUUGCAUCAAGUUUCAUGAGUAGGAGAUGACAGUUGUUGUCGUCACCUCUUGGCAAGUACAAUAAUUGCUAAUACAAGUCUCUAAGUAGGGGCGCAUAUCAAAAGAAAAAUCUCACAAAAACUUUGCUACAAUAAUCAAAUAGACUUAAGGAGGAAAAGCAAAUUAAUGCAGGAUGUCGAUGUUUGUAUCUUCAGGAUGAUCUUCAACACACA
rnacentral:lncRNA from 1 species